rnacentral:lncRNA from 1 species
UUCUCCAAAAGUGGCUCUUUAGCGAGAGAGGUAGAGAUAUUGCCCUCUAAAGGUGACUUUUUAGAGAGAGAGAUUGAUUCUCUUUAGAGAGAGAGAGGGAGAAAAAUUGCACUUCAAAGGUGGGCUUUUAGAGAGAGAUUUAUUCUUUUUAGGGAGAGAGGGAGAGAAAUUGCACUCCCAAGGUGGCUUUUAGAGAGAGAUUGAUACUCUUUAGAGAGAGAGAAGGAGAAAAAUGGAGGCUUUUUAGAGAGAGGGAGGGAGAAAAAUGGACUCCAAAGGUGGCUUUUUAGAGAGAGAGAGAGAGAAAUUGAUGGAUUGUUCUCCAAAGGUGGGCUCUUUUGCAGCACCAAACCUCAACUUGAAAUGGGCGCCAAAAAGUGUUGGCUCUUGAAUGGUGUCACUCACUCUCAGUCAGUCAGAACCAAAAAUGAGGUACCUCCAAAUUUUGAUUCCUUGUAUAAAGUGAUGAUUAGCCAAUAUUUUAGGCAUUUAUUCCAACACUUUUUUAUUCACCAUGGACAUAAGAAAAGAUUUGGCCUUUCUUUUUCACAUGUUUAAAGAACCCAUUUUUAAUCGUCUAUAGUCUAAAAGCAAGCAACUACUUUAUUUACAAAAGGAAUGGUCCAUACAAUCAUUUCAUUCAUGAGAAAACCUGUAUGUAUGCCUAAUCAUGAUAAGGUCUCUAGAUAUCUUAUCGCAUUGGGAUCCCACCAAACAUUUGCAAUUCACGGUGGGUCCUUUUCCAAUAAUCAUAGAGAAGAGAGUUUGGAUUUUCUUCUCGUUUUUAAAACACUUUAAAAAAUUAUAUAUAAAAUUUCAAACAAUAAAGGAUUAGUUUUUUUUUUUUAUCAUAUUGAAAUUUUUUUUGUCACGAAUAUUUAUUUUUACAUUUUUUUCAUUUUAAAAAGCUUUCAAAAAUACCUCUGGCAUAAAUCGGUUUUUUAAAAUCUAUUUUUUCAUUAAUUUUCAACUUCAUUUGGAUGCGUUGCGUUUUGUUUAAUUAUGUUUUAAAUAUACUUUUCAUAUUCAUUUAGAUUUAUUUUGUAUUUAUUUCUUAUAACACUUUUUGAACCGACCGAGAGCUGCCCGACUAGGACAAUUGAACCUGUCUAUUUAGUGGUUACUCUGAACCGGCCCUUGGCCAGUUCAAUUUUUCCAAAACCGCACAAGACAACACAGUCCAAUUGUUACUAUGGAUGCCUACCCUUCAGGGAGGAAGCACUUGGAUCAACUACAUAUAACAAAGGGGAAAGGAGAUAGUUGGCAUUUAAAUUUUAUUGGGUGCAAAGGACAUAAAGAGAAAAGGAAAAUUAUAUCAUGAAGGCUGGACUGCAUUUCUACAUAUGCCGUCCAGAAAGUAUAAAACAUCUAUCUUAAAGACAAAUGCAAGUAGGUGUUCUAUCCAAAACCAAUAGAAACUAACGGUCCAAACAUUUUCUUAUUAAAAAUAUUAUUCUUAUUUUUUAAAAUUUAUUUAUUUUUUCAUAUUCAUGAUCUCCAUGAUAUUACAUAUCCUUCAAAAUUAAGUCUAAAAAUCCAUCUCAAAAGUAUAUUUAUUAAGAGGCCUGCAUUGCUACAUAUGUGGGCUUGGCCGCAUAAAAACCGGGUCCAAGAAAAAAAGCUCUAUAAUUUUUUUAGAGAACUUUGUUGUGAGGUUGGGAAUCUCUCAGUUGGAUAAGAUUAUUUCAAAUGUCACAUUCAAAGAAACUAGUUGAGAGAGUGAUAUUUCUUCGUUUUUCAUUGUGUAUAUCUCAUCUCACAUCCCUUAUUUUUAUAAAAAAAACAUUGAUAUUUUGCUAUUUAUAGGUGAAGAAUCUUUUAGAGAGAGAGAGAGGAACUUCUUGUAAGAAAACUGUGCCCGUACACUAUUUUGGUGGUUUAUUUAGUUUUGUAUGCAUAAUGGUAGUACAAUGGUAAAAAAGUACAACUCAUAUACGAUUUACAUUAUUGGUACUUUUUUAUGUAUAAACUUGAAUAAUAUACGCUUUCCUAUCUUGUUAUAUUUUCUCAGUGUUUACUUGCAUGUGUUGUGCAUGAUUAAAAAUGUCAAUAUUUUUUCCUUGUACCUUCCCAAAAACUAGGAGUGACGCAUUGUAUUUCUAUUACUCCCCUAAAACUCGACUGAAAAGACAUCUAAAGUCCGAGUUUGAAGCAAAGAUUUCGAAAAACAUAAUAUGGUAGAGGCUUGGUGAUAUCAACUACUUGAUUGUCAGGCGAAACAAAACGAGUGACAAGUAAUCCAAGAGCAACUUUUUUACACAUAAAAUGAUAGUCUAACUCUAUGUGAUUUGUUCAGGCAUGAAAUACAGAAUUAACUGUCAUGUAGAGAGCAUUAAUGUUGUCACAUAAAAAUGUUGGUGGUUGAGAAAGAGUCAUCUUAAUGUCUUGAAGAAUAAAAGAAAGCCUUGUCAACUCGGCAACAGUGGACAUCAUAGAUCAGUAUUUGGCUUCAGCACUUGAACAAGUUACAAUCGACUAUUUCUUAGCACUCCAACAUGUGCAGUUGGAACCAUGAUAGGCGUAGAACACUACCAAUCCAACCCCACAGAAGAUCCGCAAAAGGGCAAUAAAUGAAAAGUUGAUCAAUGGAUUAUUCGUCAUUCUUACAAAAUAAGCAAACAUUCGUGAGGAUCAUCCCCCUAGUACGAAACUGAGCGAUAGUGAGUAAUCUUUUGUAAGCUAAAAUCCAAAGGAAAACCUUGACAAGAUGGGAACCUUGUAGUUCCAAAGCUUAGAAAAUUGUGGUCGAUCCUCAAUAUAUAAGUCUCUACUCACUACUUCAUACAAUAAUCAAAUUGAGAAUACACUGUUAGGGUCCAAGCUCCAGGUGAGCCUAUCAGGCUUACGGAGAUGAAAGCAUAAAUUAUAUAAGGCCGACAGCAGAGAGACAUAUUUGUCUUCAACACUCUGGUCCACCCUCCUAGUCUUAAGAAAGACAUUCCACGUCGUGUGGCCUUCUUCCGUAGAAAUUAUAUUAACUACCAACUCAUGUUUUUGACUCGAUCUCCUGAACACAUGAGGAUACUAAAGCCCCAAAAGGUAAUCUCCCAACAACUUGUUGUGUCGAAACCUCGUCUUUAGCCCAUCACCAAGCAAUAUCCUCGAGUAUGCUAGAAAGAGGGGCCGAACCGAUUGAAUGCCUUGCCAAACAACUGAUAGGUUUACCGGCUGCGAGCACCGCCUCGCUAUAAAACUAUCGGGAUCAGAUCCAUACUUCCCCAUAAUGAGUUGAGCCUAAAGCUGACCACUUUGCCUUGAGAGCCUCCACCACCACUUGGUAAGUAGAGCCUCAUUGAUAACCCUUAACCUGCGGAUCCCCAGGCAUCCCUCUUUCUUCAGAAAACACAUCGAUGCCCACUUAAUGAGGUGAAACUUCUUUUUUUGUUGAGUCCCACAUCAGAAAAAACUACACAUUAAAGCCUCAAGUUUCUUAAUAAUCGCACUCGGGAUCUGGAAAAGAGAGCGAUAAUAAAUAGGAAGGUUAGAAAGAGUGGUUUUAAUCAAGGUCACCAUGCCGCCAAAAGAUAAAAACCUCGACUUUCAGCCAUCCAAUUUAACCUGAGCCCUUUGAUUGAGGAGAUCCCAAAAAGAUCGAGGGCUCUCCCAUCAAUAAGUGGCAGGCCAAGAUAUUUAGUUGGGAAAGAUUCCACCACACAUGUCAACCAAAGUGCCCAAUCUGAGACCUUCGACGCUAAGCAAUUAAUCCCAAUUAUUUUGGAUAUAUCCAUUGUAGUCUGUGCUUCAAAUAUAAGUUCAUACAAUUUCAAGAAAAACCAUAUAUUAUGGACAUUCUCCUCAGUUGCCUCAAAGAGGACCAACAUAUCAAUAGUGGCUCAGCUUCAUACCAUUGGGUCAGGCUUGAAGCCCCCGAAUCAUCCCUAAGUCUACCACUCCCUACAACAUUUUACUAAAGGCCUCGGCCACUAAAGUGAAAAAAAAUAAGGAAAGGGUAUCCCCUAGAAGCCUCUAGUAGCUUUAAAAUAACCAGUAGCUUUGCCUUUGACCAGAAGUAAGAAAUGGGUUGAAGAGAGACUGUACAUGAUCUAUCUUCUCCAUCUAGGGCCGAAACCCAUUAACUAUAUGACUUAUCCAAAUAAUCUCAUUCCACUCUAUCAUAGACCUUUUCAAAGUCUAACUUAAGUAGAAUACAUUUAUCACCCAAGGACAAAGUGGUGUGAAUAGUAUCCUGAGCCAAGAGAAUGCCACCCAUAAUAAAACGAUCUUUGAUGAAAGCUGUUUCGAGGCCCUCAACAACCUCAUGGAUGAGUUUGCACAACCUAUUUGCAAGCAUUUUUGUGAGAAUUUUGGAAAAAGCAAAGAGCAAAGUGAUUGGCCUAACAUCCUGAAGGGAUUGGAUAGAAAUCUUCUUAAGAAUGAGGGAGAUAAAGGUCAACUUAAUGGCAUAGCAUACCAUCCCAUCGUAGAAAAACUGAUUGAGUGAGUGGAAACUCAUCCGGACCUAAAGCCUUAUCCCUAGGAAGGUAAAAAACAACAUCCUUAACUUCUUCUACAUAAAAUUCUCUUUCUGAUCCCAAGGCAGCAUCCUGGGAUAGGGUCUUAAAAGGCACAUUUACAAGAUUAACAAGCAACUUGGACUUCGAAGAAAAGGCAGAAUGAAAAUGGCUGACAAUGGUUCUACUUAAGACUAUUAGUUCUACUCCCAGAAUUUGCAAACCACUCAGACUAUUAAUUCUAUUUCUAGAUUUGACAAUUGCAUGAAAGUAUUUAGUAUUAUUAUUACCAUCACUAACUCAUUUGGAUCGGGAACUCUGAAGCCAAAAGAUUUCCUCCAUUCUAAGAAGAUUAUCUAAUUAGCCUUUCUUAUUUUUUCUCUCCAAUUUUUGGUCCAUUGAAAGACCACCAUUAGCCUGCUCCAUAUUGUUGAAAAGCUCAAUAUUGUGUUUCAAGGGAUUAAUCUUUAAGAGACAAGUCGCCAAUUUUACAUCUACCCACGUCCUUCAAUUUAGUCUUGAGAACUUUUAGUUUUUUGGACAAAAUAACCUCGGCCACCCAUGAACUAAGCAGUUAGCCCAGGAGUCUCAAACCACUUCUAACAACAAAUUAUCCUCCAGCCACAUCAAUUCAAAUCGAAAGGGGAUCGGACCAUAAACCUCACCAUCCAUGUCCAUGAGGAUAGGAACAUGGUCCGAGGCUAAUUGUGGUAAGGCCUUCACCAAAGUUUUAGGGAAGACAGAAUCCCAAACACCAGAAGAAAGGAAACAAUCCAACUUUGACAUCUUAGGGUGAGAAGCCAAAUUAUUAGACCAAGUGAAAUUGACCCCCAAAAUAUUGAAAUCUAAAAGGCCAUCAGAGGUAAUGAAAUUAUCAAAAAGAGUCAUUUGGGGAGAAAGAGCACUCGAAGAUAAGACUUUAUGCGACCCUUAACCAAAUGAUUACCUACCCGAUGAAUCGAAAAGUUGGAAGUGGGAUGUAGAAUGUGAUUGGUGAUAGAUGGUGGCUAUGAAAUCGAUUCGGGAUUAUCUCACAUCUAUAUUUGUAUCUGCACCUAGUUCUAUUGUUAAGGCUAGGUUGGGAGGGAACAAGAUAUGGGCUUUGUUUCAUUGAAAAAGAAAUGCCUCUCUAUAAUUGAGAGAUAUCUAGUUUUUAAUUCAAGAGGACCAAAAUCGUUUUACUACUAACUUCUCUUCCUUCUCACCCUUCUUCCUUCUGCCCUACCCCACACCAAGGUAGAUCAACCCUGGCAAUAAUAUUUGUAAAAGACCUAAGAAAGACCUAUUUUUCCCCUAGCACAUUAGGUUCAUAUAUAUUCGAUAAAUACCAAGCAAAAGAUCUAGGUCCAUUAAAAAUUACAGUUGUAGCACGAAAAGACAAAUAAAAAACAUGCCCUACAAGCACAUAGGGGUCUCAAACAGUUAAAAGCCCCCCCAAAGAGGCCACAAGAAGGGAAAAACACACUCAAUUGGGCUAGAGCCCCAAAAAGUUCUAACAAAAUCCAGAUCCAAGAAUGAUAGCUUUGUUUCCUACAAAACAAGGGUAUUAGGCUUGUAUUUAUGCAUCAAUAUGUGCAUCACCCUUCUCCUUCCGGCGUCUCCCAAGCUUCGGACAUUCCAAGACAACAUUAUCACUUCGGACGAAUGUCAUGACCCCCCUUAGUGGCCCCAAUAGAGCCAAUAGCAAGCGGAUCAAACUUCAAGGCCGCAACCAACUCUUCUGCCUCCUACUGCAAGCAAUUGCAAGGCCUCCUCGGACAUGGGUUCUUGAGCAUCAGGAUAUCCUCCUCAACCAGAGCUUCUUCCACCGGCCUGAUCUCCUUUUGAACUUGACGCGCAUGCCCUCAAGCAUCUUGGCAAUCCUCUCACGAGCCACUGCCCGUUUGAAAGCCUUGAUAGACCAGUUGGCAGAUUCAGGCGGGAAGUCCUCCUCAGAGAAAUCCGAUGACUCAAUUACCAGACUAGGUGGUGCCUCGAGCACCUCAAGAAUGGUGACAAGAAGAAGACUCUUGAGGCGUUGAGCCUCCAAGGCCACCAUGGAAGGCGUUUUGAGGACAAGACACCCCAAGCAUGGUCAUACUCCCAUUCAGAAAGGGACAUCCACAAAGCACUCUCUGGUGCCUCAACCGGCGCGGCCAAAGCAACAUCAUUUUUCUCCACAACCUCCAAAAUCACAGGAUCUUGCAUGAUGUCUUUCGAGAAAGACAGUAAAUUUAAGAGGUACCUUUUCAAAGCAAUCCAUCAUGUCGUGAUGAUGACCCGUCGCCUCCAAACCUUCCAAACAGGGGGAAUAAACUGUUUCCAUGCUCAUCACCAUUUGUUGGUCCACGUGGCCCGAUGCCAUCUCAACCGCCAUCACCAUCGGAUGCUCCACGUAGAUAGGAACCUUGAAAUACAAGGAAGGCGGUGAUUUUUCAUAAGAUGGCUUGUGGGGCACAAACGGUGUAGUAAUCGAGAACACCAGAUCUUUCUGCUUUGAUGAUUCACCAUUUUCAAAGGAGGAACAAGAAAACACUCAGGGCCAUGCAUAGACUUGCUCGGACCACCAAAAUAUGGAAAGUCCUUAACGCUUCUAGCAUAAUUCAAAUUUGAAUUUGACCUCAAGGAAGCAAGCGUCCUCCCACCAACCGUAAUCGCAGAUGCAACACUAGCCACCUCCCACCAGCUGUAAUCCAUGGCUGCUUCGAGUCUCCUGCUCCCAAAUUCCAGCCACCAAGAAACAGUUGUGGAGAAGAAGGAAGAAGGACUAAUGAGGUCGGAGGUCAGAAAAGAGAGAUGAAUGAAGAUCAUUGAGUGUAGAGCAUGAGGGAAGAGAGAGAGAAAAAAAUGUGUAGAUGAGAGUAGGGCAAAAAAAAUCAAUGCAAUAGAACAGAAAGCAUGAGAGUGGGAAAUUGGGUCGAAAUGAUUGCUAGGUACUUGGGGAGAAAGAGAGAGAGAGAGAGAGAGAGAGAGAGAGACUUGGAGGUGUGACCGGUAGAACGAAUUAGAUUGAAUAAGAUCCCCGCAAUGAUACCUUGAAAAAAUGUACAAAUAAACAUCUUGAAAGAAAAUUGUGCCCCCGCACUAUUGUGGUCAUUUUUAUUAUUUUAUACAUAAUGACAAUAUAAUAGUAAAAGAGUAAAAUUCAUACACAAUUUACAAUUAUUCCUAUAUAUUACACUUAUGUAAUAUACAUUUUUCUAUCUUGUUAUAUUCCCUUAGAGUUUCCUUGCAUGAGUUGUGCAUGAUUGACUCCACAACUACAUGUGCAGCCUUUAUGUUCAUGGAUUGAUAUUCGUGAGUUAAAAUCUUUGUGCAGAAGACUUUCUUACAUCUGGAGGUUCAUUUCUAAUCUAUUAGGAAGAUAUAAGCCUUUUUCUAGGCUCAUGAAGAACGAUAACCCUUUUGUGGGGGAUGAGGCAUGCCAAAAAGCCUUCCAAGGAAUUAAAUACCAUCUUUUGAAACAACCAAUCCUCACAGUGGGCAAGCCAUUGAUUAUGUGUAUAGCAGCUCUAGAAGGGUCCCUUGGCACUCUUCUUGCGCAAUAUAACGACGAAGGGAAGGAGGUCACCCUAUAUUAUUUGAGUCGUGCAAUGAUGUGCCCCAAAAGUUAGGCAUUAGUGUUUGCUCUUUAGAAUUAUGGCAUUAUUUGUUAGCUCAUCCUAUACAGAUCAUAUCACAGGCAAACCCGUAAAAUAUCUCAUAACAUGCCCUACCUUAUUAGGUAGCUUGGCUAAAUGGGCACCGCUUCUCAUGGAAUUCAAAAUCACAUAUAUACCCUAGAAGGCCAUUAAAUGCAAGCCGUCGCUAGUUUCUUAGCCACUCAUCCCCUUCUAGAAGAUCUCCAAUGAAUGAAGAUCUAAUGAAGAAGUCAUGUGUACUAGGGAGGAGCCAGAGUGUAAGUUGUUCUUUGAUGGUGUAUCUCAAAAAAAAAGGGCCAGAGCUAGAAUCCUAUUUAUAACCAAGAUAAAGGGUUGCCCCUUGUACCUUUUUCUUGGAAAAGAAUUGUUCGAAUAAUGAAGCAAAAUACCAGGCUCUAUCCAAAGCACAAACUUCCACACAUGGUGAAAAUUGAUGGGGAUGAAGUGUGUAACCUCUGGGACAAGUUUCCAUCCUAUCAAGGAAAAAAACCCGAGCUUAAUUGGUUAGUGAUUGACGACUUGCAACGCUACAUCCUAACCUCAAUUCCUACCAAGAGUAGGGGCCCUCUCCCCACUGACUCACCCAAAAAAAGUUUCCACCCUAUCCUUUUAGAUCUUGCUUUAAUGGGAGUUAUCACUUCUUCUUAAACAAAUACAGAGGAUUGGCACAAGCUUGUCUUGGCCGAUAUCCUCCAUAGCAGACUACCACCUGAGAGGAAAGAAAAGCUUGCUCUGCGAAAGACAUGCUACAAGGUUCACUAACACCAGUGAUGCCCUUUAUUAAAUAUCCUAUAAUCGGGUUUUAAUUAUGAUAUCUUCAAAGAAAAGGCACGCAUGUCUUUGGAGGAAGUGCACGCAAGUGUGCAUGGGAUGCAUCAAUCAGGCCCAAAGCUUUGUCAUCAACACUGAUGACUGAAAUAUUAUUGGCCGACUAUGGUGACGGACUCGACUUAUGUGCCAUCUCUAUCAGAUGCGAUUUCAUAUACCAAGACCCAGAAACCCUGCAUCCUACGACCAUGGCAUGGCCAUUUUCACAAUGGGGGAUCCAUCAAGUCUCAAAAACUGAGACAGAGUAAAAUAUGAAAAAAUAAGGGAUAAUUUUAAAUUUUCAAAAACAAAAAGAGAUUUUUCGAUAAAUUUCCCUUUAAAUAAUAACCAACAAAAUGCAAGGACAGGAUGUCAAACCAUAAGAGUAUCAAUUAUCUUCAAUACGCUCCAACAGUACUGCAUCAUUGGCGAUUCAACGCUUCUCAAGUUUGCAAAAAAAUGCAUUGAUACCAUUAAACUCUGCUUCUAAAGUAUAUAAGAUAUGAUCACUUCUCAAAUUCAGACUAUAAUUUGCCACUUCGAGUAUUGGAGCAGGAGAAAAAAGUGUGAGCAUAUUUUGUUUAAGGUAAACUGUGGCAUUGGCCCUCCUUUUGUUCAUCUUAUGGGUCAAUGGUGGUGCUUCUGUCACUGCUUUAUUACUACCAGUACCAUGAGCAUCAAAUUCGUAUCAACUCAUCAAAUGACGAAACAAGCAGUCACAAAACCAAAUUAUUAAGGCAUUUCAUAUUUUACAACUUUGAAUUCGUUUUCACUUUUGAACCGGUAUAAAGAACCUUCAGGCAUGCAACAUUAUGCGCUACCAUAUGCGUUGCCCAAAUGAGGUCUCAGUUCAAAAAGCCACCCAUUCAUUACUUCACCAAAAUCGUAUCAUAUCUCAGACAAUCCUUUUUAGCUUUUUCUUUUUGAGACCGGAACAUUGAAGUUCCAACAAUGAAAAAAUGUUAGCAGAAAUUUGAAUUAUGCAUAAUUCUAUGGUUCAAAAAAUUAAGUGGGGAACCACUGUCUUCCAAAACUAAAUCAAUAAACAAACGUGGAUGAAACCCCCACUCUUAGUCACAUGAUUGAGGUUCUACAUUUCAUCAGAGCACUGUCAGAGCCAAAGAUCUAUAUCAGCAGGAUUGUUGGCAAAGCUAAAAAGAUGCAUGAAAGGAAAAGGGAAAAGAAAACACCCAGGAAAGACUUGCCAAGUUUGCAAAAGAGCCAACAGUAUGAGACAAUAUAGAAACGUUCAGCACAGGUCUUCUUUCCUUCUUUCAAAAAAUAAAACUACACACCUCUACAAGGAAUGAUCAGGAACUCAACUAGGGCUUUAACACCUAAACCGCUUAGGAGCACCAGAUAAGGCACCAGGGUGUUGACUCUUACCACUUUGCAUUCGAGUAGCUCACCAUAAUGGUUAGGGAGUUCCAUGGAGGGAGUUUGGUUAUUUGUUGCAUGGACCUUCCUCCUCAGAUGGGAGCUACUGUUAGGGUUAGGAUCAUAAAAAAUAGCUAUUGUUAGGUUUGGCACUUGGAUCUAUAGCGAGAGCCAAGCAAGGUCAACUGGUUGGUUGGAGUGGUUGUAUAUGAAUUUGAUGGUAGCUAUGAUUUAUAGGCAUGAUAUAAGGGACUUGGCCUAAAGGAAUGUUAUCAAUGGCAUCACAUGCUGGUGUGUAUACUACUUGGGAGGUAGACAAAAGCAGUUAUUCUAUGAAGCCAUUUUUUCUUUUUUUCUGUCCCCCCCCCCCCGCCCCCCCCCCAACCAACCCCAAUCAAGGUCUGAGAAUGUAUGCAACUCCAAUUUUUAUUGAUGUUAUUCUGGAGGGGGUGUAUGGAGCAACCAUAGGCAACUAAAUGGUCCUUUAUUACAAAAAUGAAGACCUUAGUAGCUCGUAGGGGUGCAUUUGUUGUGCCCAUAAGAAAAGAUUAUCUGGGUAAUCAACAAACGCAUUUUACUUGUUGACACUCAUGUUAAUCAUCAAGUCCGCAGUCAUUCAUAGGAAUUUCUCAGUUACAGGGCCCCCAAGGCAAGUUGCCUUGUUCAAAAAUAAAUAAAUAAAUAACUCGUGAAGCAGUUAUUUCUCAGUUACAGGGCCCCAAGGCAAGUUGCCUUGUUCAAAAAUAAAUAAAUAAAGAACUCGUGAAGCAGUUAUUUCUCAGUUACAAGGCCCCAAGGCAAGUUGCCUUGUUCAAAAAUAAAUAAAUAAAGAACUCGUGAAGCAGUUAGUUUUGAGUUGCUCAAACUGCCGCUCACAUUGUUCCAUAAACCAUCUAUAAAUAAAUACUUCAAAAAAUAUAAAACAAAUACUGAAGAAACGAAUUUCUGCAGGGUAUAUGUGUGAUACCACUUAUGAAUUCAUAAAUGUGAUGCAUAAUUGUAUAUCAGUUAUUCUCAAUUUGGGGACUUUAUAAAGUUCCCCACAUCUGGUACACUAUUGGUUCAAAAACCUGAGCAGGCUACAAAAUAGCUUAAGCUUGACACAUAAGAUUACAGUGGUGCAAGUACAACAUUUUGAAAGAGUAAAAAAAAACAAAUACGGUUUUUGAAGAAAUGGUGAAGAAAGAAAAUAUGAUUCUCUGGAUCUGCAAAAUUUGUAUGGCCCUAGAUGUUCUAACUUCUUAGGGUUCUUCUUGCAGAAAUCUUGAUGUUCAAAGAAGUGGAGAAGAAAAAGAAUGCGAAGCAAUAACAAGAAUAGCAUCUGCAGCCAUGCAUAAUUUUUUAUUUCUUUGAUGGUUCACCAUAUACAUAUAUUUCAACUACUAUGGGGCUAUCUUCCUGUAAUUCUCGUCUAAAUAAAGCCACAUCAGUGAUCCUUUUAGAAAGGGGUGAUGGUUAUGUAAGGUUGGCACCUUAAACCAUCCAAGUAAGGCACACCUCCAAAUGAUGCCAAAACAUGUUUCAAUGUAGGAAAUCCCUGUAAUAGCCUGG